AUGUUCAACACGGAUAUCAAGGUGGACUACAUACACAAUAAUCUUGCAGAAUGUUUUAAUAGUUGGGUUGAAAUGAAGGAUUUGCCUAUCGUCCAACUUUGUGACAAGCUGAGAGAGAUGGUUAUGGAGCUUUUUAGGAAGAGGAGAAGGAUUGGAAAAUGCUUACAAGGUAAAAUUCUGCCAGCCAUCAUGCAAGAACUGAACGAUAGGACUAGAGGAUUAGGCCAUCUACAGCCACAUGCAUCAAGUGAUAUGAGUGCCGAGGUCACUGAUACAGAGAAAGAUCACACUAAAAGGCAUGUAGUCAAGGCACUUGCACAUGAAUGUACUUGCAUGGAGUGGCAACAUACCGGAAAGCCAUGUCCACAUGCAUUAGUUGUUCUAACUGCACUGCAGAAUGUCAAAUUGGAGGACUUUGUGGACAGUUGCUACUCUGUUGAAAAAUUCAGGGCUGCAUAUCAAGGGGAAAUAGAACCACUCACAGACAAGACUCAGUGGCCUAUAGUGGAUCCAGGUUUUGUUCUCCUAGCACCACUGCCGAAAGCAGGUGCGGGAAGGCAUAGGAAACUAAGGAUAAAGGGUGCUCUUGAGGGGGGUUCAGGUAAUAAACCUAAGGUAGGUGGAAAAAACACAUGCAAAAAAUGCCAUGAACUUGGGCACAGGGAAGUUGGGUGUCCUUACAAUGGGCCGAAGAAAAGGUACAGUCACUUAUCCAACUUUUGCAAAAUAUGUAUGUUCUUUCAACCCUGUGCAAAUAAGUGUGCGCUUUUUAGUGCUAGGAAAAGUAGGAGAAAUGAGGCUCCAUGGGAAGCUGCAAGUAGUCCUCGAGCUGUGACAAGGAGGUAA
rnacentral:rRNA from 1 species